rnacentral:rRNA from 1 species
UGCGCAGGCGGACUAUUAAGUCAGUGGUGAAAUCUCUCGGCUCAACCGAGAAACUGCCAUUGAAACUGAUAGCCUUGAGUAUGGUUGCGGUAGGCGGAAUAUAGCAUGUAGCGGUGAAAUGCUUAGAUAUGCUAUAGAACACCGAUCGCGAAGGCAGCUUACCAAACCAUUACUGACGCUCAUGCACGAAAGCGUGGGGAGCAAACAGGAUUAGAUACCCUGGUAGUCC